GCAAUUCGCACGUUUUUAUGUCGUCAUCAUCCUCCCAGAGAAGGAGCAAAUUGAAUCAUUUUUUCGAGCAUACUUCAAAUUCGAUAUGGUGAUUGCCAAGCCAACUUUUGUGCCAGUUCAAGACUUGGAGAUGGGCUUUGAAAAGAUGGUCAAAGUAGCUCAUGCUUCGGGAGUGUGCAAGCAGCAGAAAAUUAUAGAAAAAUUGAAGGCUGAGGUCAGUUGCACUUGCCCGACUCAUUU